GGCGGCAGGCUUAACACAUGCAAGUCGAGCGCUCAGCAAUGAGAGCGGCGCACGGGUGAGUAACACGUGGGAACAUGCCCUUUGGUUCGGAAUAACUCAGGGAAACUUGUGCUAAUACCGGAUAAGCCCUUACGGGGAAAGAUUUAUCGCCAAAGGAGUGGCCCGCGUCCGAUUAGCUAGUUGGUGAGGUAAAGGCUCACCAAGGCGACGAUCGGUAGCUGGUCUGAGAGGACGACCAGCCACACUGGGACUGAGACACGGCCCAGACUCCUACGGGAGGCAGCAGUGGGGAAUCUUGGACAAUGGGGGAAACCCUGAUCCAGCCAUGCCGCGUGAGUGAUGAAGGCCCUANGGUUGUAAAACUCUUUCGGCGGGGACGAUAAUGACGGUACCCGCAGGAGAAGCUCCGGCUAACUUCGUGCCAGCAGCCGCGGUAAUACGAAGGGGGCUAGCGUUGUUCGGAAUUACUGGGCGUAAAGCGCGCGCAGGCGGUCCUUCAAGUCAGA
rnacentral:rRNA from 1 species